AGGAAGGUUAUGUGGUAACCAGUUUAUGACUUGAACUAUAGGCAAAGAUUGACCAGACCAAGCCCUGAGACACAGUGUUGAGAGCCAAGACAUAAAGUUGUGAAGAUUCAGACCCAGAGCCCAGCAGGGCACAGGCUGGAGGGGUGAUGUGAGUGAUCAGUAACACCAUGAAGACUCUGCUCCUGGGUCAGGAAUGCUUUUUUGUCCCUGUUUUUGGAUUUUCCACCAUGAUCAGAAAGAAAUCUAAAGGUGAAGGAAAGGCAGCGUUCAGCACUGAGCAAGUCCAUGUUGGAGAAAGGAUAAAUAUUCUCAAAGAUUCAAGCUAUGAAGACCAAAUCUACAGAAGAUAGCAACUCAUUCACAGGGAAUUGGAAAUCCUUGUCUUCGUGGUUCCUGGCUCAGCAGGACCCCUGUGGGGCCUCUCCCUCUCUUGGGAAAGAGAUUGCUCUAGAAGGUUUACUACACCAGUGAGGAGAAGAUGAGCGCAAGGGGGAUUGGCCGGCUGAGGGCGAAAUCAAGACUGGAGCCAAGUGCGCUGAGCUCUCACAUGAGGUCCUUUGCUCCUGUUCCCUGGAGGCAUAAGUGGCUGGGGUAGAGAGAAGCA
rnacentral:lncRNA from 1 species